rnacentral:rRNA from 1 species
AACGAACGCUGGCGGCAGGCUUAACACAUGCAAGUCGAACGCGCCCUUCGGGGCGAGUGGCAGACGGGUGAGUAACGCGUGGGAACCUACCUUUUGGUACGGAAUAACUCAGGGAAACUUGAGCUAAUACCGUAUGUGCCCUUCGGGGGAAAGAUUUAUCGCCAAAGGAUGGGCCCGCGUCGGAUUAGCUAGUUGGUGGGGUAAUGGCCUACCAAGGCGACGAUCCGUAGCUGGUCUGAGAGGAUGAUCAGCCACACUGGGACUGAGACACGGCCCAGACUUCUACGGGAGGCAGCAGUGGGGAAUAUUGGACAAUGGGGCAACCCUGAUCCAGCCAUGCCGCGUGAGUGAUGAAGGCCUUAGGGUUGUAAAGCUCUUUCGCCGGUGAAGAUAAUGACGGUAACCGGAGAAGAAGCCCCGGCUAACUUCGUGCCAGCAGCCGCCGUAA